rnacentral:tRNA from 1 species
GGCGCGGUAGCUCAGGGGUAGAGCAGCGGGAUCAUAAUCCGUUGGUCGGGGGUUCAAAUCCCUCCCGCGCUACCA